AUGACCUUGGCGACGGCAGCUUGGGAAUUAGGUUAAUUUGCACCUGGGGGGUAUUAGCCAAUCUGUAAUUGUUCCUAUGUUCUUCCUUCCUAAUUAACUGUAAAUGCCUGCAACGGGAGCAUGGCUUUCUGCGUCCUUCGUCUCCUCCGGUGCUGCAGCAGUGUAGACAGCUUCCAGGUCAGUCUUUGGAGCACCGUGUUUCUGUGCUAGGAACAGCAGACGCGUCCUCACUAACCGUUGUAUGGGUCACACUCUGGAGACAGUUUCCCGGGGAGGCACAAGGCAGCCUGAAACCACAGCGCUGGCUCUCGGCAGACAAGGUGAAAUGAAGACAGCUCAGAGCCGGAGACCUUUGAAUGUCUCCUCAUCUGAGGAAGCCUUGUACUGGGAUUCAGGCAAACAGAAUUGGAAGCCAGAGGACAGAAUACCAAUUUGUCCCUGUGGGAGGACGGAUCUUUGAGCGGAGGAGAGCAGUUCCUGAGGAGGAGCGCUGGCUUUAAGACUUGCAUCAGCUUCGGGUGGAGUUCCUACCCCUCUCUUCCCCAUGAGCUAACCAGAGCUCGCACCUUGAACUGCUCCAGGCAGAUGUGAACACUUACUCUGUCCUGACAUUCCACGCACCUUCCCCAGAGACCAAAUGCAACUAACUCCAAAUCUUCGAGCUGAAGAAAUCUCUUUUCAUCCAGGUGUGCUGCCACACUCCUGUCAUCCCAGCACUUGGGAGGCAGAGGCAGGCAGCUGUCUGAGUUAAGGCCACCUUUGUCUACAGAGGGACUUUUAGGACAGUCAGGGCUACACAGAGAAACCUUGUCUUGAAAAUCAA